UCCCAGUUCGGAUUGUAGUCUGCAACCCGACUACAUGAAGCUGGAAUCGCUAGUAAUCGCGGAUCAGAAUGCCGCGGUGAAUACGUUCCCGGGUCUUGUACACACCGCCCGUCACACCAUGGGAGUCGGAAAUGCCCGAAGUCUGCGACCCAACCUACGGGAGGGAGCAGCCGAAGGCAGGUCGGAUGACUGGGGUGAAGUCGUAACAAGGUAAC
rnacentral:rRNA from 1 species